rnacentral:rRNA from 1 species
GUAAACUGGCAGGUCGUUUGCUCACCAAAGAAGUAUGGCGGUCUAGGAAUAAAAAAUCUAUCCUUUUCCAGUAGGGCUCUCCGGCUGCAGUGGACAUGGUUCGCGUGGCAAAGUCUGCCUCGGCCAUGGCUAGGCAUGAAGCUUCCUUGCUCGGACGUCGAAAUGAAGCUCUUCAAUGCCUCGACCAUCAUCCACCUUGGCAAUGGGCAGACUGCAAGCUUCUGGCACUCAAAGUGGCUGAACGGAGCCGCCCCCAAGGACCUUGCACCCUCCCUGUUCAAACUAGCUCGCAGGAAAUCCAACACAGUUGCCCAGGCACUUCAAGGUAGCAAGUGGAUGAAAGGACUUGAGAGAAUUAGCUCACACAAUGAUCUGCACUCCUUUCUGCUGCUAUGGGAGAAAAUUCAGAAUGUCGACUUGUCUGACGCCAGCGAUGCCAUCAAGUGGAUUUGGACGAAGGACAAGUCUUACUCCGCUAAUACGGCCUACUCCUGUCAGUUCACUGGCUCCAUCGCCAAACCUAAGCUUGACCUGAUCUGGAGGCUGAAGAUUGAGAGAAAGCCUGCUAAUCUUUUGUCGAUCUCUCAAUGGUGGAGGGCCUGCUCCCAGCGUACCAAAGAGCAUGCCGCGGUCGCUGCCUACUUCGCUUGGCAUAUUUGGAAUGAGAGGAACAGAAGGGUUUUCAAUGCCAAAUCAACCUCAUCGGACGGUGUGCUCUCGUUGAUCAAAGCUGACUUAGAUAUAUUGAGAGUAGCGUUUUAG